rnacentral:rRNA from 1 species
GACGAACGCUGGCGGCGUGCUUAACACAUGCAAGUCGAACGGAAAGGCCCCCAUCUUGGUGGGGGUGCUCGAGUGGCGAACGGGUGAGUAACACGUGGGUGAUCUGCCCUGUACUUCGGGAUAAGCUUGGGAAACUGGGUCUAAUACCGGAUAGGACCAUGGUUUAGUGUCUCAUGGUGGAAAGAUUAUUGUUUUGGUGCAGGAUGAGCUCGCGGCCUAUCAACUUGUUGGUGGGGUAAUGGCCUACCAAGGCGUCGACGGGUAGCCGGCCUGAGAGGGUGGACGGCCACAUUGGGACUGAGAUACGGCCCAGACUCCUACGGGAGGCAGCAGUGGGGAAUAUUGCACAAUGGGCGCAAGCCUGAUGCAGCGACGCCGCGUGGGGGAUGACGGCCUUCGGGUUGUAAACUCCUUUCGUUAGGGACGAAGCCGCACUUUUUUUGGGUGUGGUGACGGUACCUUUGUGAAGAAGCACCGGCUAACUACGUG